UUUGCAAUUCCGGGUUUGGGAUUUGGAAUUUCAGGUUUGGAAUUGGGAUUUGCUUUUCCCUGGUGAUGGGCAGCAGUUCCAGGUCUGGGAUUUGCAAUUCCAGGUUUGGGAUUUGUCAGUCCCAGGUUUGGAAUUUGGAGCUCCAGGUUUGGGAUUUGCUCAUCCCUGGUGAUGAGCAGCAAUUCCAGGUUUGGGAUUUGCAAUUCCAGCUUUGGGAUUUGCUUUUCCCUGGGGUUCGAAUUCCAGGUUUGGGGUUUGGAAUUCCAGGUUUGAGAUUUGUCAGUCCCAGGUUUGGGAUUUGCUCAUCCCUGGUGAUGAGCAGCAAUUCCAGGUUUGGGAUUUGCAGUUCCAGGUUUAGGAUUUGCAGUUCCAGCUUUGGGAUUUGGAAUUUCAGGUUUGGAAUUGGGAUUUGCUUUUCCCUGGUGAUGGGCAGCAGUUCCAGGUCUGGGAUUUGCAAUUCCACGUUUGGGAUUUGCAAUUCCAGGUUUGGGAUUUGCAAUCCCAGGUUUGGGAUUUGCUGAUCCCUGGGAAUUCCAGGUUUGGGAUUUGGAAUUUCAGGUUUGGGAUUUGGAAUUUCUCCUCCCUGGUGAUGGGCAGCAAUUCCAUGUUUGGGAUUUGGAUUAGCUCAUCCCUGGUGAUGGGCAGCAAUUCUAGAUUUGGGAUUUGCAAUUCCAGGUUUGGGAUUUGCAAUUCCAGGUUUGGGAUUUGCAAUUCCAGGUCUGGGAUUUGGAGCUCCAGGUUUGGGAUUUGCCAGUCCCUGGUGAUGGGCAGCAAUUCCAGGUCUGGGAUUUGUCAGUCCCAGGUUUGGGAUUUGCAGUUCCAGGUCUGGGAUUUGCAAUUCCAGGUUUGGGAUUUGCAGUUCCAGGUCUGGGAUUUGUCAGUCCCUGGGAUUUGCUCGUCCCUGGUGAUGGGCAGCAAUUCCAGGUCUGGGAUUUGUCAGUCCCAGGUUUGGGAUUUGCAGUUCCAGGUUUGGGAUUUGCAAUUCCAGGUUUGGGAUUUGUCAGUCCCUGGGAUUUGCUCGUUCAUGGUGAUGUGCAGCAAUUCCUGGUCUGGGAUUUGCAGUUCCAGGUCUGGGAUUUGCAAUUCCUGGUCUGGGAUUUGCUCGUCCCUGGUGAUGGGCAGCAAUUCCAGGUUUGGGAUUUGCAAUUCCAGGUCUGGGAUUUGCAGUUCCAGGUCUGGGAUCUGCAGUUCCUGGUCUGGGAUUUGCUCCUCCAUGGCAAAUCGCGGCCUCAAGGAGCGGGCCGGGGCUCGCUGCCUCCCUCACCCCGCUGGGGGCAGGGAUGAGAUCAGGGGCGUUAAAAAUAGCCAAAAGGCAGGAAAACAACCGGCUCCUCGGGCGCUCGGCAAAACGGGCAGCGGAGGAGGAAAAUCCACAGAACUGGGCAUUUUUCAAAUAUAUUUUUGGAGGCGUCGCUCCCCGCUCUGAGCUCCGAGGGGUUAAAAACCAGGCCCCGGUUGAAUUAAAAAUUUAAAAUCCUGGCUGGAGAGGGGUUCUGGCAACGCUCUGCCAUGGUUUUAUUGAGGAAAUCGCGGGCUUUGAGGCUGAUUCAGGGAUCCUGCGCCUCUAAUUGCCUUUACAGCGCUGAUAAACAGGACACGGCGCUAAUUAGCGAGCCAGGAGCUUCGCCCCAAAUAAAUGAGUUCCCUGAAGGAGCUGCUUGCUGAGAAUCCGGGAUUUUCUCCCUUUAAAAUCCCAGAUUUCUCUCGGCGAAGAGAAACCCGGAGCUGGGAUCUCUGUGCUCGGGAAUUCUAUUUAUGGCCCGACCAUGACAUUAAUAUUAAAUUACACAUCGAGUGAUUUCACUGGGAUUUUUUUUUUUUUUUAAUCUUUAACCUUUCCGCCCCAGAUUCGCCUUCUCGGCGGAUGCUGGAAAUGACGAAUUAAUUCAGGUGGUUUGUGGCGGAGCCGAUUUUUCUCCUUGCCGGAGGAACCCAGCGGAAAAUGGAGGCUGCAAGCAGCAAUUACGUGCUCGGCGUUGGCAAGGAGGAGGAUUCGCUUCGGAGGGGAAAAACCAACAGCCAGAGUGGCCCAGCUAUGAGAAACAACCUCAGGAAGAAGAUGCAGCUGAAUUAAUCUCAUUUGUUUGCCAACCCACUGCAUUUGAUGACCUCAAAGGUCUUUUCCAGCCUAAACAACCCCAGAAUUUUGUGACUUUAGGUCUUCAAUUGGAUCCAGCUGGGAGCUUUUUGUUUCCUGGCUGAACCCCAGGUGGUUUCCAUGUGGGCAGAGGACAUCCCUCUGUAGGGGGACUCCUGCAGAAAUCCUUUUGGGGUUUUCAUUCUAAAUCCCUUUGGAAAAAUCCUUUGCAAUGCUGACCUCUGCAGGCUGAGGGACUGCUGAAAACCCCGGGCAGCAAUAACCUAAAUAAUGCAUGAACCAGGUGUUUUACUGCUGCUGGCUGUGGGUAGGAAAAGACUAUCAUAAAAUAAAAAAACCUUAUAAAUAAUG